rnacentral:rRNA from 1 species
AACGAACGCUGGCGGCAGGCUUAACACAUGCCAGUCGAACGCCCCGCCAGGGGAGUGGCAGACGGGUGAGUAACACGUGGGAACAUGCCCAAAGGUACGGAAUAUUCUCGGGAAACUGAGAGCAAUACCGUAUGUGCCCGAAAGGGGAAAGAUUUAUCGCCUUUGGAUUGGCCCGCGUCGGAUUAGCUAGUUGGUGGGGUAAAAGCCUACCAAGGCGACGAUCCGUAGCUGGUCUGAGAGGACGACCAGCCACACUGGGACUGAGACACGGCCCAGACUCCUACGGGAGGCAGCAGUGGGGAAUCUUGGACAAUGGGCGCAAGCCUGAUCCAGCCAUGCCGCGUGGAUGAUGAAGGCCCUAGGGUUGUAAAAUCCUUUCGUUGGGGACGAUAAUGACGGUACCCAAAGAAGAAGCUCCGGCUAACUUCGUG